CCUACGGGAGGCAGCAGUGGGGGAUAUUGCACAAUGGGGGAAACCCUGAUGCAGCGACGCCGCGUGUGGGAAGACGGUCUUCUGGAUUGUAAACCACUGUCCCCAGGGACGAAAAUGACGGUACCUGGGGAGGAAGCUCCGGCUAACUACGUGCCAGCAGCCGCGGUAAUACGUAGGGAGCAAGCGUUGUCCGGAAUUACUGGGUGUAAAGGGAGCGUAGGCGGGGAUGCAAGUUGGGUGUCAAAACUACCGGCUCAACUGAGGAACUGCAACCAAAACUAUUCUCCUUGAGGGUCGGAGAGGAAAGUGGAAUUCCUAGUGUAGCGGUGAAAUGCGUAGAUAUUAGGAGGAACACCAGUGGCGAAGGCGACUUUCUGGACGAUAACUGACGUUGAGGCACGAAAGUGUGGGGAGCAAACAGGAUUAGAUACCCCAGUAGU
rnacentral:rRNA from 1 species